rnacentral:lncRNA from 1 species
CUCAAGCAGUAUAUAAUAAAGUAGAAAAUUAUUUAGAACAGCAGGCUGAAAUAGCACCUUCGUCACCCUCAUCACCUUCAACAUCAGCUAUAACAGAGAAUGUAAAUAAUAUAAACAGAGAACUAAAUGUUCUUAGUAAAGAGAAAAUUGAAAAGAAAUUUUUAAAGGAAAUAACGAAGACAAAGAAUUUAAGUAAGUUAAAUAAGAUAGUUAAAAAAUAUAAAUUUGAGGAUUUAAAAGAAG